UAGAAAUGGCUCUGAUCAUUCUGCACAGACUGAAAAAAUGAACAGGGCUGUGAGGAAGUCACAAAGCAUUUUGUAUCAUCCCUGUAACAUUGAGAUCACUGUUACAUUCUGAGGGAAGUGCAAAGGUGUAUGGGAGGACAGAGCUUUCUCUUUGCACUCUGCAUGUUUGGCCGUAUAAAAGCAAAACCUCCUGAGAGCUGGACUCUACUCUUUCAAUUGGUGUUCACAAGAUGAGAGAAGGCUAUUUAGAGAGAAUGACUGUAUAAUCAGAAAAG